UGACGGGCGAUCUUGGACAGGUCGGAAUUCCGACGACGGCAGGAGCGUCUAACAAAUUGCAAACAAUUGCCCCCGGAGCCGUACAGCGGAUUUGUGCGAAAAAGAAAGGAUAAGCUUGCGGAAAUUUCGCCAGCCGCAGAAACACCGAACCGUUAGGAAUUGUGCGAACGACCACCAUCACCGAUCACCUGGAGAAACCACGUACGGUGCCCGCACGUGCACACAGCUGCUGCAGCACACAUCCUCCUCCAGCUCUAGCUUCGUUGGUGUUGUGACAGUGUGCGCUCACCGACGGGAUGGUGUGUGCGUGUGUGCCUGUGCACGCGUUUAGUGUCGUGUUUGUGUAGCUGUUUGUGUAUGUGUGCGUGUGCGUUGUGGUGUGCGCCCGUGAAUCUCUUCCGCCAAUUGAUUUUCCGCGCAGCAGGGCCUUUGCUCGACCCUCCCUCCGGAAGUGGAUUCGACUGCUGGUGGCUUUUCAUUUUACGACCGGGCCAAUUAUAGAUAGUAUUAUAUAUAAUAACGUGCAACGGGGGAAAACACGGUGUGAAAAUAUCUCACGUCACUACCACCGGAGGUUGUGGUAACUGGGUGUGCUGUGUAUGUGCCGCCGGUUUGCUAUUAUCUCGUGCUGCUGGAAGUAAUUGUGUGUUAAGGUGUGUGCUACUACUACUACUACUGCUGCUUGCCCGUUUUGGAGAUCCAGUGCCGGACCGAAAGGGCGGAAGUUUGUUGUUGUUAGAAGUUGGAUGUAUUGUGGGGAAUAAGUUCGUAAACUUCAGAAGCAAAAUUGAGAUCUGCCCGCACAAUCGUCGCUUUAACUACUAUUAUUACUAAUGAAUUCUAGUAUAAGAUAACACAUCGUGCCACUACAUCGAGACAGGACGGUGACAGUAUCUCGAUCGAUCCAAAACGGAAGCGAUUCGAUCGACGUGAAGCUGCGUGUGAUCGCAACAGAAGUAGACCGUGCCAUGUCGCUGCAUCCAUUGCGCCCAUAAUUACGGUGUGCGACAUUGGGUGGUCCGACGGCACCAUUGGACUCGCCACACAGCACCGCCCGGGGAACGCCUCACCGACCCGAAACGCACUCCCGAUUGGUGGCGGGUUUGGCGGACGAGGAUGCAGAUGCUGCACGAUAUGAUGACGUUGCUGACGACAGUGCUAGCACGCCAUAGCUUCUGGUGACAGCAGCUACUUCGCACGCCCAGAUAUCAUCAACACGACGACGGGUCCUUCAUUGGCGGCUGGUGGUGUCCAGCAGCAGCGACCGCGCGUUGUGCUCCAGCCGUGUGUCGGUAACCGGAACCAAACUGUGUUUGUGUGUGUGUGUGUGUGUGCGCAUAAGUGUCCGUGAAAUAUUUCGCUUGAACAAAUAGUAGCAGCAGAAGUGGUGCAUAUGUGUGUGUGUAUGCAGUACACGAUACUACACGUUGUGCGUGAGGUUCGGUUUGUGUGAUUGAUUUCAUUUGAGUUGUGUGUCCAGUUGUUAGGGUCGAGUGAUUCGAAAGUGAGAGCUGUCUAGCGGGGGUGAAACUAAAACAUACACACACAUACGGAAAGAGACCGGAGUGGUUGGCGGUUUUUGAUAGAAUAUUUAAUACCAAAGGCCUAGCCCCUAACGACGACGGCUCGUGAUUGCUCAGGCGUGCACGUGGUAUAACUUAGCAUAAAUCGUCAACAGUGGCGGUGUGUUUGCGAAGAGGGUGGGCAUAAGAAGCAGUAGAACGCAGCGUAAGGUAUAUAACAUACCCCCGGCAAGAUGGCGACUAUCGAUGGACGACCGGCCCAGUACCAGAUCACGCAGAAGAAUCUGCGAGAGAUCAUGGAGCACCGGGGCCGGGAAGCGGUAGCAAAGGUGAACGAGUACGGCGGCGUGGGGGACAUCUGCCGCAAGCUGUACACCUCUCCGAACGAGGGGCUGAGCGGAUCGACAGCCGACAUUGACCAUCGGCGGGAAACGUUCGGCUCGAACGUGAUCCCGCCGAAACCGCCCAAAUCCUUCCUGACGCUCGUCUGGGAGGCGCUGCAGGACGUGACGCUGAUCAUCCUGGAAAUUGCGGCCAUCAUUUCGCUCCUGCUGUCGUUCUACCAGCCCGCGGACGACGACGAACCGGUGGUGCAGGACGAGGAGGAACAUUACUCGUGGAUCGAAGGUCUGGCCAUCCUCGUGUCGGUGUUUGUAGUGGUCGUCGUGACGGCAUUCAACGACUACUCGAAGGAGAAACAGUUCCGUGGUCUGCAGUCCCGCAUCGAGGGCGAGCACAAGUUCUCGGUCAUUCGCGGUGGCGACGCGGUCCAGGUGAACAUUGGCGACAUCGUGGUGGGUGACAUCUGCCAGAUCAAGUACGGUGAUUUGCUGCCGGCCGACGGUAUUCUGAUUCAGAGCAACGAUCUGAAGGUGGACGAAUCGUCGCUGACCGGUGAGUCGGACCACGUGAAGAAGAACGAGUCGACCGACCCGAUCGUGCUGUCCGGCACGCACGUAAUGGAGGGCAGCGGCAAGAUGGUGGUGACGGCGGUCGGCGUAAACUCGCAGGCCGGCAUCAUUUUCACACUGCUCGGUGCGGCCGUCGAUGAGCACGAGGCCGCCGCCAAGCAGAAGAAGAAGGAGGCGAAGAAGGCGAAGAAGGCGGCCGGUGCAAAGGACGAAAUCACCAACAACAGCCACGGCCAUCCGCAGGGCAUCCGCAGCCAGACGACGGUCGACUCCAUCACCUCGGACGAUGGUGGCGACGAGGGCAGCAAGAGCGGCGGCGGCGGCGAAGGUGGCGGCCACGGCGGCAAGGAAAAGUCGGUGCUGCAGGCCAAGCUGACCAAGCUGGCCAUCCAGAUCGGGUACGCCGGUUCGACGAUUGCCGUGCUGACGGUGAUCAUCCUCAUCAUCCAGUUCUGCAUCCAGACGUUCGUAAUCGAACAGAAGCAGUGGCGCAACUCGUACGCGAACAAUCUGGUGAAGCACUUCAUCAUCGGUGUGACGGUGCUGGUCGUGGCCGUGCCGGAGGGUCUCCCGCUGGCCGUCACCCUGUCGCUCGCCUACUCGGUGAAGAAGAUGAUGAAGGACAACAACCUGGUGCGGCACUUGGACGCGUGCGAAACGAUGGGUAACGCGACGGCGAUCUGCUCCGACAAGACGGGCACGCUCACCACCAACCGGAUGACGGUGGUGCAGUCGUACAUCUGCGAGAAGCUGUGCCUGGUAACGCCCCGGUUCUCGGACAUACCACGCGUGGUCGGCGAAGCGAUCGUCGAUGGCAUUGCGCUCAAUUCGGCGUACACGUCCGGCCUGAUGCCCGGGCAGAAUCCGGGCGAUCCGCUGCAGCAGGUCGGCAACAAGACCGAAUGCGCGCUGCUCGGCUUCGUGAACGGGCUCGGCCGCAACUACCAGACGAUCCGGGACGCCAACCCGGAGGACUCGUUCACGCGCGUGUACACGUUCAACUCGGUGCGCAAAUCGAUGAGCACGGUCGUGCCGAAGCCGAACGGCGGCGGCUACCGCGUCUUCAGCAAGGGCGCCUCGGAGAUCAUACUGAAGAAAUGUGCCUUCAUCUACGGGCAGGACGGGGUGCUAGAAAAGUUCACCCGCGAUAUGCAGGAGCGCCUGCUGCACCAGGUAAUCGAGCCGAUGGCGUGCGACGGGCUGCGCACAAUCUGCAUCGCGUUCCGCGACUUCGUGCCCGGCAAGCCGAACAUCAACGAGGUGCACUACGACGGCGAGCCUAACUGGGACGACGAGGAGAACAUCAUCAGCAAUCUGACGUGCCUGUGCGUGGUCGGCAUCGAGGAUCCGGUGCGGCCGGAGGUGCCGGAAGCCAUCCGCAAGUGCCAGCGGGCCGGCAUCACGGUACGCAUGGUGACGGGCGACAACAUCAACACGGCGCGCUCGAUCGCGACCAAGUGCGGCAUCCUGCGGCCACAGGACGACUUCCUGAUCUUGGAGGGUAAGGAGUUUAACCGGCGCAUCCGCGACAGCAACGGCGACAUACAGCAGCACCUGCUGGACAAGGUGUGGCCGAAGCUGCGUGUGCUGGCCCGCUCGUCGCCCACGGACAAGUACAACCUGGUGAAGGGUAUCAUCGACAGCAAGGUGUCGGCGAGCCGCGAGGUGGUGGCCGUCACCGGCGACGGUACGAACGAUGGGCCCGCGCUCAAGAAGGCGGACGUCGGGUUCGCGAUGGGCAUUGCCGGUACCGACGUGGCGAAGGAAGCCUCGGACAUCAUCCUGACCGACGACAACUUUAGCAGCAUCGUGAAGGCGGUCAUGUGGGGCCGCAACGUGUACGACUCGAUCGCCAAGUUCCUCCAGUUCCAGCUGACCGUCAACGUGGUGGCGGUCAUCGUUGCGUUCAUCGGUGCCUGUGCCGUGCAGGACUCGCCGCUGAAGGCGGUCCAGAUGCUGUGGAUGAACCUGAUCAUGGACACGCUCGCGUCGCUCGCCCUCGCGACGGAGAUGCCGACGCCGGACCUGCUGCUGCGAAAGCCGUACGGCCGCACCAAGCCGCUGAUCUCGCGAACGAUGAUGAAGAACAUCCUCGGCCAGGCGGUCUACCAGCUGGUGAUCGUGUUCGGGCUGCUGUUCGUCGGCGACUGGUUCCUGGAUAUCGAGUCCGGUCGUGGCCAGCCGCUCAACUCGGAGGCGACGCAGCACUUCACCAUCAUCUUCAACGUGUUCGUCUUCAUGACGCUGUUCAACGAGCUGAACGCGCGCAAGAUCCACGGCCAGCGGAACAUCUUCCAGGGCCUGUUUACCAAUCCGAUCUUCUACUCCAUCUGGAUCAUAACGCUCGUCUCGCAGGUAUUCAUCAUCCAGUUCGGCAAGGUGGCGUUCUCCACCAAAGCGCUGAACAUGGAGCAGUGGCUCUGGAGCGUGUUCUUCGGGCUCGGCACACUGAUCUGGGGCCAGAUCGUGACGAGCAUUCCGACGCGCAAGAUGCCGAAAAAGAUGGCGUGGGGUCGCGGACACCCGGAGUCCGAGUACACCGAGGCGAUCCGGCUCGGCGAGGAGCGCUACGAAACGAUGGACAAUGACAAGAAACCCCGUGCAGAUAUGCAUUUGCAGUAACUCGCCGUCUGGCUGACCAAAUCCCAAGUUCCUGGCAAUCUGAUGAACCCACAAAAGAGCAGCUGCUACCACACUCACACAUGCGAAGUGUGCUCUUUAUCUCUUCUGAACUCUCUUGGACUAGGGGAACACGCUGCACAAGUGUCCGCGGUGGAACACAUCCCUUCAUCCCGAGCCGAGGAAAACAUCGUCCGAAAUGCCUGCCUGCCUGUGCCUGUUUUUAACCUCUUCUGUUGCGUGCUGCUCUCUCUCUAAUGGCCGAACCGUGCGAAGCACGAUGCUUGGUGCAAGAUACGCAACUCUAGCUCUCUCUCUGCCGUUCUGUUGUUGUAGUGCGCCUCUGUUUUGCAGUGAUAGUGACUAAACCUUGUAAUAGAACCAAAACGAAACGAAAGAAGAAAAAGUAAUACUACAUCUUAGAGUAGCGUGUAGUAGCUGUGUUACUACUGAUCACUACUGAAAAUACUUCCGUUAUCGUUGUUACUGCUCUUCUUCGCUCUAUUCCAUACUACACUAACCACCACUGCACACUGCGCAAAGGGUGGCGCAAUUAGAGGAGAGAGAAAUUCGCGGUAUGGACAAAAUCGACAACAGUCUAAAAUCAGAUUCCUUCCUUUGCUCUUGAAUGUAUAACAUGAUGAGAUGAUGAGAUGAGGAGAUGAGUUAAUCCUGAGACAGAAUGAGCUGAGAACAGUAGAACGGAGUAAACAAUUCGAACAAAAACUCACACAUAAACACACACACAUACACUCAGGGUGUGGGUGAACCGCGUUGUAGAAAGCUUUGUGUGUCACACGGGUGGUGGCGUCGCGCGAUCCAUUUAAACCGAGAUAGAUCACGCGCCGAUCGCCCUAGGCCGUCGCCGAACAUGUUGGCUAGGAGACUGUGAGGAAGCGUUACUAGACACAGAAACACACAGAGAAAUACACAAACACACACGGUACCUUAGAGCGCGAGCGCGCACGGCUCUAAAUGAUGCUUCAGCUGUAUAGAAACAAUGCACCGGUAGUGGCGGCCGAACUACUGUUGUACAGGUGCAAUCCCCACGACCGCUGCCGCAGUCGUAUUUAAAAAGAACCAAAAACAAACCAUAUUAGUAAGGCAGAAGCAGUACACUGCAUCAAGGGGAUGAGCAGAGGCAGCGGGGCACAGCAACAGCAGCAGCGGCAAGUAUCAGCAGUAUCAGCAACAGCAGCAGCAACAACAGAAGGCAAAGUUUAAUAGUUUUAUAAUGAAAAACAUACACACACAAUGAUUCCACUGCGAGACCUAGAGCCAGUAGAAAGUGAACGCGCAUCUUCUCCAUUUCGCGGAACAGGAAACUAGGAUAAGGCAAUGCGCGCGUGCCGCACUUGCGUUCUUGAUUGCUCCGAUGAUCGAUGGUCGUUGUUGUUGGCGCACGCUUCGAUAUUUGCUCCCUGCGAUCGUAACCGCCUCUGCGUGUCACUUUAUCGAGCUUUUGCGGCACGACGAACCACGUACGACGGUGUCACAGACGGAGAGCAGUGCGCGUUCCAGUUAAAACAGUCGGCAGUUGCGAUAGAAAACAGUGCGUAAGGAUUCCAAAAGGUAUCCUAACCGAUCGUUUUGGUAGCGAAAGUGUUGAGCAAUAGCAACUUAAAAUGAAGAAGUAAACAAAAAAAUAGUACGAAAAGAGAUAGUUAAAUGCACGGAUUCGUUUGAAGCAGAUGCAUUAAAUUGUUAUCAGCAUGAACAAAAAAUCACAAACAAACAAAACAAAGCCGAAGAAAAGGAAAAAAGCAGAACAUAGCGAGCAUAACAAUUUAAUUUAAACGAAACAAAACAUGUGCAAAAAACGAUAAACACAGAACAAUUUAUCGAGAGAGUAUUAUUGUGUACCGUUUGAUGUUUUUGUUCGAACACGUGUGUAGGCUAAUGGAAAAAUUAAUUAUACAAGAAAGGAAAAGUUCUAUGUUACACAUCUUAUUAUUAAUGAAACAAACAAACAAAAAAGAAAAACGUCACGAUACGGGGCGCGAACGUCACAGGACAACCACUAAAGCAAGGACGAUGGAAAAUGUCGAAAGAGUGUAUAGAAAAAGAGUGUUGAGGAAGAUUUGAAUGCUGAUGAGAAGAGCGUUGAUACGCAAAGAAAGGAACUCUCUGUCAGGUGGUAGAAAUAAUCAAGGACACAAAAACACGUACACAUGUGCACUCUUUCACACGCACAUACACAAAUACACACACACAUACAUUGAUGAAUCAAAAAUCGAAUCGAUUGAUAGUUAAGCAAGAUUCACUCCUUCCCUCCUCACACACUCUUCCCCCAUUUGCUAUCUAGGAUUAGUACUAGUGCACUACUAACUUAUUUUAAAUAUAAAACCCCCCAUCAAAUGCGACAGACUAGUUAAGCGGAAAAGAAUAAGAAUAGAACGGAAAAAUCCAUUGGGAAACAAAAGAAGCAAUCAAAGUUGACUCGUUUUUGGAUAGAAAGAGAGAGAGAGAGGUGAAAAUUACGAAUUAAAUAGUAGGCAAGGAAGCUAAGAGUCCGUUUCGCAACAUUCACAUACGGGUUUUUGAGAAGUUAGGUACAGUUUUCGGUUCCGGUCCGGCACCAGUGUUUCGGUCGGUGAAUGGUGAACGGUUUUCAGUUUUGGCACACCUACCACCUUAAUGUGGCCCGAGCAAAGCAUUGAAAGCAGAAGAAAUGAAGCACUUUCGCGAGCAAUCGGCAGACACUGGCGAAGAGGAGAAGCGCGUUGUGUGAGGUCACAUUCGGGAACGGAUGCGGGUGAGCACAGUGGUACAACCAAGAGCAACGGUAGGAACAACACAUCGGAGGGAUACCUUUUGAUUGGGUAGUAGAAGAGGGACCGUGCAGUAGUAGAGUGUGGAAUUGGACCAGACAAUUGGAUAUCAGGACCUUUAUCCUUCUGCCACUUUUCCCCUCUCCUGUGUAUAUCCGUCGAUGAAGAGGGAAGCGAUACGGCUGGAAGCAGCAAACGGUUGAAAGUGCAGCGUGGAUUGUGGCGUGUUUAGCACGAGAGAGAGAGAGAUAAGAGAGAAGAUCUGUGAUAGUUUGUGCGUGGUGCUGCCAGGUGAAAUGGUCUGCAUGCUGGAAUGUCGUGAUCAGUUGUGUGCGUUGAAUUGCGGGUGUUUGUCGCUUCCCCGUUUGAAAGUUGGACCAUUUUGUUUGCAAUGACUUUGUCGUUUCGUCUGUCUGAUGGUGGUGGAAUCGCACGCUCUCGAGGAUUGAGCUAGAAAUGACCCCACCAUCCCAUAUGUAAUCCCAUAUCGGAUGUAACUCUGCGCCGAUGGUUUAAUGUCGUCAAAAUAUGCUGUUUAGUUAACAUUAGACUGCUGUUGCUAUCAUUCUGCUUUUUCGGACAGCAUCGAUCAGAGAUCAAAUCUCAAAAGAUUCUGUCGUUUUAGCUAUAUGAGCGAGUGACGUCAUCGGACAUUUCAUGCCUCUCAGACUUCAGAGUUCGAAGAACUACCUGGAAGAAGAGUUGGUUCAUUAUGUUCAAACGCCAUAUUUCGGCCGACUUUGAUUGCUUGGGACAGAGUUGCAACAAAUGUGGUAACACCUUGAGCGCUACGUGUGUGUUGAAAUGUGUGUGUGUGUGUGUGUGUGUGUGCGUGAGAAUCAUUGUGCGUGCGUGCGUGUGUGUGUGUGUGAGAGAGAGAGAGAGAGAGUGUGUGUUUGUAAGCGUCGAAAUCAUGUUAGUUACAGUUUCUUCGAAACAAUCGUUGUCCGUUCUCGGUUUUUGUGUUUCAUUAGGAUUAGGAGCCAGUGUCUCCGGUUCGUUCUGUUCAGUAGCCAGGAGAGAGGAGUAAUAGCGAUAAGUAUACAGUAGUAGCCUUUUAAGAAAGUAAACCGGCCGCACUCGGUCAUACUUUCUGUCGUCCCACCCCCCACGCAGCUUCCCCACGGGAGUGCGCGAGCGCGCGCGGGAUGGGAAAGCGGGAAUCGGAAGCUCGGGAGGAUCGUUCGGAAGCAAACACUACCAGUUACACUUAAAGUGACAAAUUUCUAUUUCUAUAAGUAAGAGAUACAGCACUUUACUUAGUGAUAGCAUAAGUAUAAAGUACACAGAUACACACACACACACAAACAUACUAUAACAAUCUAGUGCAAUACACAAGAUAUCGAGACAAUGGAGUGGAUACCAGCCGGAAAAGAAGGCAAAACUCGAAAGAGAAGAUAAUUAAUCAUAUAAAACAACAGCCACACUACACCCAACCAACCAACCCGUGUACGUACGUUGACGUUUAUUACAAUUGCACAGAGUUUUGUUUAUAAAAAUUUGAACGACCGAUCGAUCGCGGCUAGUCCAUACAACGCGACCGAAGGAAGCAAAGCGAUAUACACGUGGCCAGUAAAGUUGAUUGCGCAUGUGAGCAUGUGUUGCAGAUCGACUAUGUCGAGAUCAGUAUGUCGAAAUUGUUACCGAAAACCAAAACAAAACAAAACAAAAAUGUGUGCGUAUUAGAGCGAGCGAACGUGUGUUGAAUACCACAAACAACCAAAACGGAGCCAACCAAAUGAUAAAAUAAAAUAAAACUAAAAUAAAAGUAUAGUUAUCCUCCUUCGCAAUAAAGGAAACCAAAAACACACCCACGCCCUUAAAAAGUUAUCAUGUAACAUCUUACAACGGCAACAACACCCGAAACUUGAAUGGGGGAAACAAACUAAAAAAAAAAUAAUGCAAAACCAGAACUUACCGAAAACAAAAAAAUAACCAACCAACCAAACAAACAGUGGAAAAGUUGACCGCAACAUCGUUUGAAUGUAGUUAAUUGCAGUAAAUAAAGGCAUUUUAAUGACAACAAGUUUCGAUUCUCGAUUCUUUAACGCUAGCAAAUCGAAAAGGAGGGGCUAAUGGUAGUGAACAAGGAGAAUUACCGUGUUGCAAGUGAAAUAUUUCAAGUACUAGAUCCGAGAUAGUAUCUACAAUAGUUUAAUAACACUCGGUAGUGACCAGUGUGUUGCGCACGACACACAGACGGAGUUGUGCGAUGGAAAAUACAAGGAGGGAGUCGUAAUCAUUUGUUUGGGGAAAUAUGAACAUUCGGAUGAGCUAAUUAAAACCCAUGCACACUUACCAAAAAACAUGCAAAACGAAAGCGUUCUGCUAACAGUGAACAAACGCACUAUGGAAGCAAACUAGCACGUACUUGAAAUAAAAAAUUAAAACAAAGCAAACAAAAAAAUAAGAAAACUUACAUGAUGUAAGUAAAGAAAGCGUAACACCAAAGUCAAAGAACUUAAACCAACUCGAUGAUACAUCCCUUUCCCAUUCGCACCGCGGCAUUACGCCAUCCUCCGAAGUGAGGUGUCCUGUACGAGCGGACUUUAAGCAUCUGUUCUUCUUUCAUCCCAUUAUAAAUGGCGUCGCUUACGAUAUAUCAGUAGAGUAUUCCGAUACUGUAGUUUUCUGGUCUGGAUUAAUGGGAACAAAGAUUUAGUUACUUUGUCAUCCACUUUCUUCACUCUCCCUCAAGUGCUGCUCACAAUCUAUGUGUUCUCCCUUUUGCGCAAAUGUACAUCUCGCUGUGAAGCAAAGAAACCCCAUUGACCUCAUUUUGGUUCCGAUUCUUCGAUGGUCCCCUAAAACAAUUUCCCAUUUUUGUGACAUUGCGUCAUAAGUGGCAGGCAUGUCUUUUUGUUUUUGCUACUUCUUCUUCCAGUAUAUGGGAUAUGGCUCUUACGAAAUAAGAUUGUAAUGUAAAAUAUUCGCACUCGCGGUUAGUCAAGAAAGUAUUAAAGGGGCAUGUUUACUUACAUAGUAUAGAUAAAUGAAAAAAAAAAAACUUGGGGCUGUAAUGCAGAACUCGGGCCUCGAUGUCACCCGUCUCGGUAGAGAUAAUCAAACGGAGCGGAACUCAGCCAGGGGUUUGGAGAAGCAAGUGGGGGUUGGGAGCGAUAAGAAGCAAUUAGUGACAUUAUUAGUAGUAGUCGUACGGUAAUACUAUUUAUUAUGACGUUUCUGACGUUUGUUUGUUGCGUGUGUGUUCCACAGCAACGUUGGCUUAUCUCUCCCCCCUCCCAGCCACACUCUACUCUUUCGAUCGGUAGAGGGGAGAAAAGCAUUGUUUACUUAGGAAUCGUUAGCACAUUGGUGCGUUACUGUUCGUUACCCGUUUUGGAUGCGUUACGUUGGUUAAGUUAUGUUUAAGGGAAGCGGUGUUCACGCCCUCUUACUAUUUAGACGAUUGUGUUUCGCGCAUGCAUUGUUAGAGUUUUGUUCAGUAGAAGUGAAAAUAACAACAACAAACAUACACACAUUCUACCUGGUAUGCGUACUCAAUAAAUGGUAUGCGGUGUGUCGAUAAAGUGGACACUACUGUACGUUUACCACUCACCACAUCCAGCCACAUCCAGCGCGCAUAAAUGCGUUUUCAGUUGUAACACUUCAUAACAGUAAUAACAUUAAACUCUAGAGUAUCUAGAUGUGGAGCAAUGGUGCGUACGAGGCGUAAUUCGAGAUAAACGAUAAAAAGGGCUAAAACAAAAAUGAUAUCUACGAAUGUAGAAAUAACAAACAACCAUACCAGGAGGUGCAAACCAUACCAGAGGAAGAUUUUAUCGAGGUGAAAAAAGCAACUGAAAAAACAACAACCAUAAGCCAGCGUACCAAAUACAACCGCAAGCAAUGAAACAGUACGUUGUAAUUGCACUACUUGAUAUGUAGAUGUUCCUCUCAGUUUGCCUUUUCAUUGAGCUAAGACAAUGACUUAUAAACACUUUAUCCGAGCGACACUACCUUAAUAUGUGUACAAUUGGUGCGUUACUCAGAUGUUUACAAACCGUUUGGUUCAAAAUCAUGGCGAGUGAAUGCGUUUCUACGGGGAAUUAUAUUCCCAGAUAUUCCCUUCCCUAUGUUAGACACUUUCAUUUACCGCUGGUUUUCUAGAGGCACGGUGACAUUUAUUGUGAUUUUGUAAUGAUUUCGAGGAAGUUUCUUAACUGUAUUCGACCGAUUAGGACUACUAUGCUGAGUUUAAUCAUGCGCCUCUAUUGUAAUAUCUCAUCCGCUGUUGUAGUAAUGCUUUUGUUUCAUAAAACCAUGCAAAUUAAUCCUUGUUGUCACCACGGAGUUAGAGGUAACAUGACUUAAUGUCAAUGAGGAUUGCCAACUGUGUUAGUUACCGUUGCAGAUAUGUAGAUUGAGAAUAUUAGUAUUUGAUGUAAUGUUGGUUAAUGUCAGAUUUUAUUACACAUUUUAUACAUUACGAGGAACUUAAUGCUCCUGUCAAGCUUUUGGCGCUCACCGUGCCUUUACCAUGCGCUAUAUUGACGACUGCCGACAGUUUCGUUUUCAGAUAAUUUCUUAUAAUUGUUUACAUUGUAAAAUCUUCCAGAGGACCGAUUUUUUUUAACAACCAAUAGUGAUCGCUACCCUACUCCACCAUCGCCUUUUUCUUCCUUCCCCACCUUCUGGGUUCGAUAGUCCCCGAGCUGUCUGCUUCCCGGUAUAAAUGAGGAAGUCCUCCACCCCCCCGUGGCAGAAAAUUCGUACUGUCGAUAUAUAGUUAAAAGUUAAAAAAAAAACAAACAAAAUCAAGCUUUAACGAGUAGAGAACACUAAAUAACCCAGCUCUCCUCUCGACACUCUCGAACUGUAAAUCUCUCUUGUACGUUAGUGUAUGUGUGUAUAUCCUCCCUAGCCGGUCAGUCGUGCCAGUCCCUAUCUCCCCGCCGGAGUUCCUCGAACACUUCAGUACCCCCAAACCUUCCUCCAAAAUUUGUUCACUUUCUUGUCGUGUCUUAUGUUAGAAUAAAAAAAAAAGAGAGAAAAAUGUUAAUAAGAUGUUUUCCUUCCACUAGCUUUUGGGAUGCGGUACAGAGGACGUGUGUGUGUAUGUGUGCUCCCAUUUAGCUACUGGUCACUAAAAGCCUUCGAAACUAAAACAAUCCCUUGGUGCUGGUGCACAACAAAAAAGAGUGGAAAACAGUAAUAAGAACAGGGCGGUACACAGGCUGGCAAUACAGAAGUUGUUUCAAACUGCAGAAAUAACAUCGCAAAGUAAGAGGCACACAUGUGUUAAACCGCACGUGGCGAGAGCAAACACAUGCAAGAAUUUCACAUGUUUUCUCUGGUUUAAGUUUGUAUCAUAGGAAUAGAAGAGUAAUUAAAUAAACAAAACACAGAAGAAAAAACAACCAAAUCACAUUCAAAACGUAUGUAUAUCUUUAAACAAAACGGAUACGAUAUUAAGUUAGGGUUUAGCAAGGGAAACGUGACAUAACACUCACUCACACCUGGACACAUGGACACACAAAAACCUUGUUACAAAAUAAAGCUAUGAAUGAUUAAAAAAAAAACAGAAACACACACGCCUGUUUGUGUGUCAGUGUAAGUGUUUGUAUUCAAAUCCGAGUGAAGAUAUCUACUUAGAAUUGAACGUCUUGUUGCAAGGCGCGUUUGUCCGCACAUCUAGGAGAUGUUGAUGUUUUGCUUUCCUUCGUCCUUUCUCUAUAUAACAGGAUCGUUGUGCAUGCAAGUGGAUAUAGGUGGUAUAUCUUCGAAUGGAUUUUACACACAAACAUAUACACAAACACAUGUACUUACAAAAAAAACAGACAUUAUACACCUUAAAAUAAACACCUCUACUUAAGACCAUCCCUUGAGAGCUUGUUUGUUUUAGCGUGUGUGAUGAAGUGUCGUGAAACAUUUAAUAAACGCCAAAGUGUUGCUCGAACUUUACCAAAGCGCAAGCGAUAGUAAUGCAAAGAAUGAGUCUUAUUAGUGUAUUAGUAUCACAGCAACGCGGGAACAGUAAUAUGCAAUUUAGCCUGCGUUUCGGAUAAGGGCUAAAAAACAUAAUACACAACACUUAACGGUAAACAGUGCAUACACUUACAUAUUACACAAAAAACCCAGGGAAUGUAAGAUAGAGCCCCCCCUUCCUCCCCCUUUAAAACAGGAAAGCAUGAAAAAGAGAUUGUAACCCACCCUAUAUGAAAUACAUUUUUAAACGGAAUACGUUUUACCUCUUGUUCUGUUGAGCGAAAAGUGCGCUGCAACAAUGUAGAAAAGGUAACAAGAUAACAACAAGAAAGCAUAUAUUUGAAUGUUCUUGUUUCUUGAAGUACUAUCAUAUUCUAUCUUAAUCUUUCCUCUUUUUUGCAUUUCAUUAUCAAAUUAGAAGUGUUUAUUUAUUCAGCGUGUUAGUUUGAGCCUUAUUGUAACUUUUUUUAUAGCGUUUCUGAGAGAAAAAAAAACACUCAUCACAAAAUUUAACAGCGAAGGAAUUCCUUUCAACAUUUAACAAACUAAAUCAAACUUCACACGAAGGAACCAAAACUAUAAAUGAAAAAAUGAGACAAAAAAAACAAAACAAAAAUAAAUUUAAGAACAACUUUCGAAGAGUUCAAAGAGAACAAAGAUAGUAAGAAUGGUUAUAUCUAGUCUAAACUAAUAGUAGUUCAUAAAGGAAUACACACAAACACACAAUAUAAGAAACGAUUUAAUUCAUCCACAACAAAAAAGUUAGCGAAAUUUGAACACAAAAGUUAAUAAAGCAAAUAGAAGUGACAGUGAAAAAAGUUCUAAAAAGCACUAACAACACGUGCAAAACCAAGCGAUACAGAGGACGAUGAUAAUAAAGAGAGGAAAAAUCUUUUAAAAAUAACCAUACCAACCCAAUGAUGCGACAUUAGGCAUCCGAGCUUGGUUAAAAUGGCAGUUUACGGUUUGCAGUUCACCCAGCACUAUUACCGAGUACCAAGGGGUGUAGUAUUACCGACACUCGGACAUUGCAACUGGAUGGCUUCGAGACGAUGUACAUUCAACCGGCAACAACAUGCGAUCUCCUCUCACAUUCGCCAUUUGCAUUCGCGGUUUUAGUACGUUAGGGCGAUGAUUGCGUACUAUGUAUCAUUGCACACAAGACGAAUUAAAUAACUUCUACCCAUACCGAGUAAUAAGUAAUACAAGUAAAGUUUAAACGGAACACCGCACAUAAACACCUCAUUAACACGGGUGAAAGCAGAAUAGAAACAUCUGCAAAAGAAGGUAAAUGUGAAAUGGGAUAGCUUACGUGCGCAAUAACAACAAAUCGUUUCGUUCUUCAAACAACUCGAACAAAAUAAAAAUGAUAUGAAAACUUA